AUUGAACGCUGGCGGCAUGCUUUACACAUGCAAGUCGAACGGUAACAGGGAGCUUGCUCCGCUGACGAGUGGCGAACGGGUGAGUAAUGCGUCGGAACGUGCCGAGUAGUGGGGGAUAACGCAGCGAAAGUUGUGCUAAUACCGCAUACGUACUGAGGUAGAAAGUGGGGGACCUUCGGGCCUCACGCUAUUCGAGCGGCCGACGUCUGAUUAGCUAGUAGGUGAGGUAAAGGCUCACCUAGGCGACGAUCAGUAGCGGGUCUGAGAGGAUGAUCCGCCACACUGGGACUGAGACACGGCCCAGACUCCUACGGGAGGCAGCAGUGGGGAAUUUUGGACAAUGGGCGAAAGCCUGAUCCAGCCAUGCCGCGUGUCUGAAGAAGGCCUUCGGGUUGUAAAGGACUUUUGUCGGGGAGGAAAUCCCCAGCGCUAAUACCGCUGGGGGAUGACAGUACCUGAAGAAUAAGCACCGGCUAACUACGUGCCAGCCGCCGCAGUAACAC
rnacentral:rRNA from 1 species